rnacentral:lncRNA from 1 species
UCAAGCCAAGCCCAAACUUUUGAUUCACUAAAUCAUUAUCUUCUUGGUGAGAAAAACCAGAGUGUUCGCUAAGAAUCUGCAUUCUUUUGAAGUAUUUUAAGGUCUAGUUCUUGAAAUCAUGCAAAGGGGAAACAUCACUCUUUCUUUACAGCAGCCCAUGUCCAUCUAGACCUGCUAGAACAAGAAGGCCCCUACACUGUCUAAUACGACUAAUCCUCUAGGUGUUGUAAUCAUAGGCUGUGGUUCGGACUCAAUUUAUUGUCUCCAAGCAAUGGAAACGUCGGAUAAUAUAUUUGGACUGAUCUUUGAGGAGUUGUAAAUUUGAAGAGCAAGAGAAAAAUCGAGAUUGUGAAGGGGGGUUAAUAAAGAAGAAAUUUUGAGAAGAGGAGUGGUAAUGAUGAUGAUGAGAUAAGAAGAAGUGGAGAGGAGAGCAGAAGAAUGGUUUAGGGUUUGGUUUAGUUUUUUUUUCUCAAACUUUUAAUAUUUUUCUUCUUUGUUUUUUUUAAACAUGUUUUCUUACUGCCCCUAACAAUGUUUUUAAUAAAACCUUUUGGGUGGUAAGUCGAUGCAAUGUCCUCUUUCUCUUUCUGGCCAGUACUCAGGCUCCGAGCUCUUUAAGGGUGACCGCCUUCAAAAAUUUUGUGUCAUCCACGUGAUAGCUUUCUUUCCUACUAUCUUGCUUGGGUAAAUGGUGAUCCCUAGACCAAGAAUAAGAUAUGAACGUAAAUAUUUCGUGUCUCUUCAGAGCGUGAGUACAAG